rnacentral:rRNA from 1 species
UGGGCUCCGAAGCUAACGCGAUAAAUCGACCGCCUGGGGAGUACGGCCGCAAGGUUAAAACUCAAAUGAAUUGACGGGGGCCCGCACAAGCGGUGGAGCAUGUGGUUUAAUUCGAUGCAACGCGAAGAACCUUACCUGGUCUUGACAUCCAUAGGAUUCUGCAGAGAUGUGGGAGUGCCUUCGGGAACUAUGAGACAGGUGCUGCAUGGCUGUCGUCAGCUCGUGUUGUGAAAUGUUGGGUUAAGUCCCGCAACGAGCGCAACCCUUAUUCUUUGUUGCCAGCGAUUUGGUCGGGAACUCAAAGGAGACUGCCGUUGAUAAAGCGGAGGAAGGUGGGGACGACGUCAAGUCAUCAUGGCCCUUACGACCAGGGCUACACACGUGCUACAAUGGCGUAUACAAAGGGAAGCGAAGGUGCGAGCUGGAGCGGAUCUCAUAAAGUACGUCUAAGUUCGGAUUGGAGUCUGCAACUCGACUCCAUGAAGUCGGAAUCGCUAGUAAUCGUAGAUCAGAAUGCUACGGUGAAUACGUUCCCGGGCCUUGUACACACCGCCCGUCACACCAUGGGAGUGGGUUGCACCAGAAGUAGAUAGCUUAACCGCGAGGGGGGCGUUUACCACGGUGUGAUUCAUGACUGGGGUGAAGUCGUAACAAGGUAACCA